rfam:Glossina austeni unplaced genomic scaffold Scaffold343, whole genome shotgun sequence.
GGAGGGUAGGUUUUAGUACGUAAUUGCCAUGGAUGGCAAAUCGUGCAUGCUGCUACUAAGAACCCGCAGUAUCUUUUGAAGAUUUUCUACCUCC